GUCGAGCGCGGAGGGGACUUCGGUCCCCCGUAAAGCGGCGAACGGGUGAGUAACACGUGGGCAACCUGCCUCAAGGACUGGGAUAACUCCGGGAAACCGGGGCUAAUACCGGACGAUGUCUUCCGGCGCAAGCCGGCCGACCAAAGGUAGCUUCGGCCUCCGCCUUGAGAUGGGCCCGCGUCCUAUCAGCUUGUUGGUGAGGUAACGGCUCACCAAGGCUACGACGGGUAGCUGGUCUGAGAGGAUGAUCAGCCACACUGGGACUGAGAUACGGCCCAGACUCCUACGGGAGGCAGCAGUGGGGAAUUUUGCGCAAUGGGCGAAAGCCUGACGCAGCAACGCCGCGUGAGUGAUGAAGGCCUUAGGGUUGUAAAGCUCUUUCACCGGUGAAGAUAAUGACGGUAACCGGAGGAGAAGCCCCGGCUAACUUCGUGCCAGCAGCCGCGGUAACAC
rnacentral:rRNA from 1 species